AGAGUUUGAUCCUGGCUCAGGACGAACGCUGGCGGCGCGCCUAACACAUGCAAGUCGAACGGAGCUUAGAGAGCUUGCUUUUUAAGCUUAGUGGCGAACGGGUGAGUAACGCGUGAGUAACCUGCCCUGGAGUGGGGGACAACAGUUGGAAACGACUGCUAAUACCGCAUAAGCCCACGGUACCGCAUGGUACUGAGGGAAAAGGAUUUAUUCGCUUUAGGAUGGACUCGCGUCCAAUUAGCUAGUUGGUGAGGUAACGGCCCACCAAGGCGACGAUUGGUAGCCGGACUGAGAGGUUGAACGGCCACAUUGGGACUGAGACACGGCCCAGACUCCUACGGGAGGCAGCAGUGGGGGAUAUUGCACAAUGGGGGAAACCCUGAUGCAGCGACGCCGCGUGGAGGAAGAAGGUCUUCGGAUUGUAAACUCCUGUUGUUGAGGAAGAUAAUGACGGUACUCAACAAGGAAGUGACGGCUAACUACGUGCCAGCAGCCGCGGUAAAACGUAGGUCACAAGCGUUGUCCGGAAUUACUGGGUGUAAAGGGAGCGCAGGCGGGAAGACAAGUUGGAAGUGAAAUCUAUGGGCUCAACCCAUAAACUGCUUUCAAAACUGUUUUUCUUGAGUAGUGCAGAGGUAGGCGGAAUUCCCGGUGUAGCGGUGGAAUGCGUAGAUAUCGGGAGGAACACCAGUGGCGAAGGCGGCCUACUGGGCACCAACUGACGCUGAGGCUCGAAAGUGUGGGUAGCAAACAGGAUUAGAUACCCUGGUAGUCCACACCGUAAACGAUGAUUACUAGGUGUUGGAGGAUUGACCCCUUCAGUGCCGCAGUUAACACAAUAAGUAAUCCACCUGGGGAGUACGACCGCAAGGUUGAAACUCAAAGGAAUUGACGGGGGCCC
rnacentral:rRNA from 1 species